GAUGAACGCUGGCGGCGUGCCUAAUACAUGCAAGUCGAGCGAACGGACGAGAAGCUUGCUUUUCUGAUGUUAGCGGCGGACGGGUGAGUAAUACGUGGAUAACCUACCUAUAAGACUGGGAUAACUUCGGGAAACCGGAGCUAAUACCGGAUAAUAUUUUGAACCGCAUGGUUCAAAAGUGAAAGACGGUCUUGCUGUCACUUAUAGAUGGAUCCGCGCUGCAUUAGCUAGUUGGUAAGGUAACGGCUUACCAAGGCAACGAUGCAUAGCCGACCUGAGAGGGUGAUCGGCCACACUGGAACCGAGACACGGUCCAGACUCCUACGGGAGGCAGCAGUAGGGAAUCUUCCGCAAUGGGCGAAAGCCUGACGGAGCAACGCCGCGUGAGUGAUGAAGGUCUUCGGAUCGUAAAACUCUGUUAUUAGGGAAGAACAUAUGUGUAAGUAACUGUGCACAUCUUGACGGUACCUAAUCAGAAAGCCACGGCUAACUACGUG
rnacentral:rRNA from 1 species